rnacentral:rRNA from 1 species
AGCAGCCGCGGUAAUUCCAGCUCCAAUAGCGUAUAUUAAAGUUGUUGCAGUUAAAAGCUCGUAGUUGAAUUUCGGGGUUCUACCGUCGGUCGGGCUACCAAGUCUGUACUGGUGUGUAGAAUUUCUACCUUCUGGGGAACCAUCAUGUUAUUAAUUUAGCGUGGUGGGAAACCAGGACCUUUACCUUGAAAAAUUAGAGUGUUCAAAGCAGGCUUAUGUCUGAAUACAUUAGCAUGGAAUAAUAGAAUAGGACGGUGGUCCUGUUUUGUUGGUUUCUGAAUCACCGUAAUGAUUAAUAGGGAUAGUUGGGGGCAUUAGUAUUCAAUUGUCAGAGGUGAAAUUCUUGGAUUUAUUGAAGACUAACUUCUGCGAAAGCAUUUGCCAAGGAUGUUUUCAUUAAUCAAGAACGAAAGUUAGGGAUCGAAGACGAUCAGAUACCGUCGUAGUCUU